rnacentral:ribozyme from 13 species
UAUAUAUAUCACAAAAUGGGAGGAUAUAUCAAAGAGAAGAAAAUCUCCGUGCAGCAAUAAAUCAUGCAGCGAAAUCCACAAGUGACCUCUCUGGAUUGGUAUGUGUAUUAUUUUUCAUAUGCCAUUUUUUGUUUUGUUUGUUGGAGUUUCACCGUCAUCCUAUUAUAUGCUCUCUCCAAAAACAGAAUAGUAGUAAAGUUUCAGCUGUUG